rnacentral:rRNA from 1 species
GAUGAACGCUGGCGGCGUGCUUAACACAUGCAAGUCGAACGAAGCACUUUAUUUGAUUUCCUUCGGGACUGAUUAUUUUGUGACUGAGUGGCGGACGGGUGAGUAACGCGUGGGUAACCUGCCUUGUACAGGGGGAUAACAGUUGGAAACGGCUGCUAAUACCGCAUAAGCGCACGGCAUCGCAUGAUGCAGUGUGAAAAACUCCGGUGGUAUAAGACGGACCCGCGUUGGAUUAGCUAGUUGGUGAGGUAACGGCCCACCAAGGCGACGAUCCAUAGCCGACCUGAGAGGGUGACCGGCCACAUUGGGACUGAGACACGGCCCAAACUCCUACGGGAGGCAGCAGUGGGGAAUAUUGCACAAUGGGCGAAAGCCUGAUGCAGCGACGCCGCGUGAGCGAAGAAGUAUUUCGGUAUGUAAAGCUCUAUCAGCAGGGGAGAUAA